GAUGAACGCUAGCGGCAGGCUUAAUACAUGCAGGUCGAGGGACAGCACAGGUAGCAAUACUGGGUGGUAACCGGCAAACGGGUGCGGAGCACGUACACAACCUUCCUUUAAGUGGGGGAUAGCCCAGAGAAAUUUGGAUUAAUACCCCGUAAUAUAGUUGAAUGGCAUCAUUUGAUUAUUAUAGCUACGGCGCUUAAUGAUGGGUGUGCGGCUGAUUAGAGAGUUGGCGGGGUAACGGCCCACCAAGUCUACGAUCAGUAGCUGAUGUGAGAGCAUGAUCAGCCACACGGGCACUGAGACACGGGCCCGACUCCGACGGGAGGCAGCAGUAAGGAAUAUUGGUCAAUGGACGCAAGUCUGAACCAGCCAUGCCGCGUGAAGGAUUAAGGUCCUCUGGAUUGUAAACUUCUUUUAUUUGGGACGAAAAAGGGCCUUUCUAGGUCAACUGACGGUACCAGAUGAAUAAGCACCGGCUAACUCCGUGCCAGCCGCCGCCGUAAAAC
rnacentral:rRNA from 1 species